GUUGGCUUUGGCAGCACUUUCUAAAAUUAGAAUGAUGUAGACAAGAUUAACACGGCUCCUGCAUAUAGAUUACACAAAUUUUGUGAAACAUUUCAUAUUUUU
rfam:Chlorocebus sabaeus isolate 1994-021 chromosome 21, whole genome shotgun sequence.